rnacentral:rRNA from 1 species
UACAGAGGUGGCAAGCGUUGUUCGGAAUUACUGGGCGUAAAGGGCUCGUAGGUGGCCGACUAAGUCAGACGUGAAAUCCCUCGGCUUAACCGGGGAACUGCGUCUGAUACUGGAUGGCUAGAGUUUGGGAGAGGGAUGCGGAAUUCCAGGUGUAGCGGUGAAAUGCGUAGAUAUCUGGAGGAACACCGGUGGCGAAGGCGGCAUCCUGGACCGGCAUUGACGCUGAGGAGCGAAAGCCAGGGGAGCAAACGGG